GGACGAAGAAGAAGGUGUAAGCAGCUCGUAAAUGUGAAAAGUUGAUGUUUUCACCACCCAGUGUCUUUAAGACUGUGAUAAAUGCAAUGACCAACGACCAAGGAUUAAUGUACGUAUAUUUUUGUUAACUUUUUACGGCAAAUAAUUGUAAUAUUUGGCAACAACAAAUCUUCACUAUCGGAGGCAACUUUUGUUCUGACGCCAUUUUAAAAAGUUGGAUAUCUAAGUUUUAAAUUGUUAAGUGCAUAUAUUGCAAGAGAGAGAGAGAGAGAGAGAGAGAGAGAGAGAGAGAGAGAUUUGAGACAGUGAUACAACAUAACUUAAAUAGAUUAUAGAGGUCCCAAGGCACCGUAUGUUGUAAAAUGGCAACGUUUCGCCUUUCACCAUGUUUAUUAAAAUGUAUGCUCAAUAUGUAUGUUCUCUCUCUAAAUAUAAAUGAAUACUUUUCGGAUUUAAACAAAAAUAUAUUUUUAACCCCGCUCAAAUUAUCCGGAUGAUAAUAGUUAUACCGAGCAUGGUUUCGUAGUUAAAUUCAGACUGUAGUACAUCCGGUUUGAAUACAUACAUGUGUUUUCUUCUGACUUUCCGUUUUCGGAUAGCCAACUCUUUUGAUUUUUGGAACUUAUGACUUAUGGCAAGAGAGAAGAAAACUGCAUGACUUUAAAAGAAAACCAGUGAGAUAAAAUCAUAUAAAAUGUAUGAUGAUUCAGGAUGUGGUCAUUUGAGACCUGUUCUGUGGAUGCCCUUAGACAGUGUGUCUACCCAUCACGCCAUCUGAUAUCACUUGUUCUGAGCAUAUUUCUCUCUCAAACUUAAACUACAGAGAGCCUGUGGAUAGAGGAUGAAGAGUGACCUUGGACUAAUUUUCUAGGUCAAAGAUCAUAGGUGAUGUGAAGGAAAUACCAGGGAACUGAUGUUGAAAGAAGUACUUCAUGACGCUUAUGAAU